AUGCUCGAUGGUAUAAAUGACACCACUAUUGUUCUUAUUCCUAAAGUGAAGAAUCCCCCGUCCAUCAAAGACUUUAGACCGAUCAACCUCUGCAAUAUCAUCUACAAAAUCAUAUCGAAGUGUCUGGUGAAUAGGCUGAGACCUCUCUUGGAUGGUAUGAUUUCUCCCACUUAUAGUGCCUUUAUUCCUGGCCGGUUAAUUUCUGAUAACGCGCUUAUUGCUUUUGAAUGUAUUCACUCGCUGAGUACGUUGAAAGAUAAGCGUGGAGAGUUUUGCGCUUACAAGUUGGACUUGGCAAAAGCGUACGAUCGUGUGGACUGGCAAUUUCUUAAAAGUAUGCUUGGGGCUCUUGGUUUUGCGCCAACAUGGAUUAAUUGGAUCAUGACUUGUGUUACUUCUGUGAAGUUUUCGGUGCAGUUUAAUGGACAGCUAUUGGAACCUUUUUACCCAUCAUGUGGACUCAGGCAAGGGGAUCCUUUAUCUCCUUAUUUGUUUCUACUUGUGGUUGAGGCUCUCUCUCUUUGUUGUUAA
rnacentral:rRNA from 1 species